GAUCCCACGCGGUGUCCAUCUUGUGAACUCCCCCAGGGCGGGAACGCAGCAAGGGUCAACGAGCUCUGACAGGUGCGUGGGGUCCC
rnacentral:SRP_RNA from 1 species